rnacentral:miRNA from 1 species
CUGCGGGGCCCUGGCUGGGAUAUCAUCAUAUACUGUAAGUUUGCAAUGAGAUACUACAGUAUAGAUGAUGUACUAGUCCGGGUCCCCACAGCUCUGGAGCCAGAUGAG